AAACACAACAAGUCAGGGAUUUUGAAGUCGGACAGAUCAGAGGGACCCAUGAGAACUCCAAGUGUGACACUCACAAGAAGCAGUUUCAUUCUACUGAAUACAAACAGAGU